CCUACGGGAGGCAGCAGUGGGGAAUAUUGCGCAAUGGGCGAAAGCCUGAAGCAGCAACGCCGCGUGGAGGAUGAAGGUUUUCGGAUUGUAAACUCCUUUUGUUAGAGAAGAUAAUGACGGUAUCUAACGAAUACGCCCCGGCUAACUCCGUGCCAGCAGCCGCGGUAAUACGGCGGGUGCAAGCGUUACUCGGAAUCACUGGGCGUAAAGAGCGCGUAGGCGGGAUAGCAAGUCAGAUGUGAAAUCCUAUGGCUUAACCAUAGAACUGCAUUUGAAACUGUUAUUCUAGAGUAUGGGAGAGGUAGGUGGAAUUCUUGGUGUAGGGGUAAAAUCCGUAGAGAUCAAGAGGAAUACUCAGUGCGAAGGCGACCUGCUAGAACAUAACUGACGCUGAUGCGCGAAAGCGUGGGGAGCAAACAGGAUUAGAUACCCUUGUAGUC
rnacentral:rRNA from 1 species